rnacentral:rRNA from 1 species
GACGAACGCUGGCGGCGUGCUUAAUACAUGCGAGUCGAACGGAAAGGCCCUGCUCUUGUGGGGUGCUCGUGUGGCGAACGGGUGAGUAACACGUGAGUAACCUGCCCUUGACUUUGGGAUAAAUCCAGGAAACACGGGCUAAUAUCGGAUAGGAGCUACUGCUGCAUGGUGGGGGUUGGAAAGUUUCGGCGGUUGGGGAUGGACUCGCGGCAUAUCAGCUUGUUGGUGGGGUAGUGGCUUACCAAGGCUUUGACGGGUAGCCGGCCUGAGAGGGUGACCGGGCACAUUGCUACUAAGGGAGGGCGCAGUAGCCUACGGGAGGCAACGGGGGAGAAUAUGGCGGAAUGAGGGGAAGCGAGAUGCAGCAACGCUGCGUGCGUGAUAACGGCCUACGGGUGGUAAACCGCUGUCGCCUGUGACGAAGCGUGAGUGACGGUAAUUGGUAAAGAAGCACCGGCUAACUACGUG